rnacentral:lncRNA from 1 species
CAUCACACAACAAAUGUAAAAGAUUGAUUUCGUGGAAGAAAGUGAAUAUUAUUAUGUUUAAAUUGUCUAAAAUUGAGAUAUGUUUUGUGAAUUGCCUUUGUGGAAGCCAAUUGAUAUGAGUUUGGAUCAAAAUGUGUUUGUAGAUUUAAAUUUAAGUAUGGUCAGAUUAAACUUGACGCAAUGCAUAAGAAUGUUUUUCUGCACUAGUUCUUAUGUUAACUAAAGGAUUAAUUAUAAUUUAUAGUUUGAUCACAAAU